rnacentral:rRNA from 1 species
GACGUAGGGCGCGAGCGUUGUCCGGAUUUAUUGGGCGUAAAGAGCUCGUAGGCGGCUUGUUGCGUCGACUGUGAAAACCCGCGGCUUAACCGCGGGCUUGCAGUUGAUACGGGCAGGCUAGAGUUCGGUAGGGGAGACUGGAAUUCCUGGUGUAGCGGUGAAAUGCGCAGAUAUCAGGAGGAAUACCGGUGGCGAAGGCGGGUCUCUGGGCCGAUACUGACGCUGAGGAGCGAAAGCGUGGGGAGCGAACAGG